GACCAUGCCAAUAGCUCUGCUUUCCUUCCUCUUCCUGCUGAAAGAUGAAUGCAUUAUCCUCAUCAGAGCCAGCCGAGAAGGACAAGAAAAAGCCUGACUAGCAGCUAUAAAAUGAAAGAUUGUCCAAGUGCCACAAGCACACCAUCCAGUUUCUAACAGUGUGCAGCUACUCCUACCCUUGCUAAGGAAGCGGAGGAGGGACAGGAAGAGGAAGAAAGCAGAAGGAAGCCUUGCAGUGAGGAAUGGUGACUCUGGAGGAGGAUAUCAGCAGGGACAGGGCUGGUGAAAGACGUGCUCAAAGCCUGUUGGAGGUGAUAUCAGACCGGAAUGCUGAGAGGGUGCAAGGGGAGGAAAUUCAUUCUGUUAUUUUAAGAUGACAAACAAGAAAAAGGAAGGAGGAGAGACUGAUUAUUUAUAAAACGACUAACAAGUUCCUGGCAGUGAUAUCUGCUUCUUUCAGUGUCUCAUUCUUAAGUUAGCUAAUAGCGUUUCUCUGCGCAGGACUUAGAAACAUCUAAAGGAUACAUAAGGAAGGUUUACCUUUCUCAAAAAGAAAAUUAGAAGAAUUUGGUACAUAGAUUAAUACUUGAACCCUAUACAGCUCAUUUUUGUAUUUUUCCCCGAGCAAUUACAAAUGCACAUACAUCUCCCACCCCUUAAACGUGCAUUACCAGUGGGAGAUCCAUGAGAACCUGCAUUCCAUCUCCUGGUCCCAUAUGUGCCACGUGGUUGAAAUUCGUUGGGUUAGAAAUCAUCUUUGACCUUAGCUCAGGGUCUCUAAGCAUUUCCCUAAAAGGGCAGAGUGAUUUUUACUAUUAGCACUCCCAGUCUUUGCAUGUCAUCACGUACAACCUGUUACACACACAGACUAAAUUCUUACCGCCUCUGUUGUAAUCGCUCUUCCUCGGGAACCUUAAAUACAAAUCUUCUUUUGCUCCUGG